UGAAAAGAUAUUCAGACACAGUGGAAUCUUAUAUUAUAACAUUAUACAAACACACAAACGUUUUAAGUUCAAUACCAUACCAUAGGUCUAAAUUAGUACAUGACAGAGUUCAUUAUCGUUAUCUUAUUCAUAGACCCGUCAAUUGGAAUAUAAUAAUAUAAAGAUUUUACAUGGUGAUCUUCUUCUUACGAUCAUUAGCAAGUUGUUUGAGUGGUUCCAUUUGAAUGAUUGAGUUUGGUAAUUUUUGUGCGACCAUAAUAUGAAAGAGACCCAUAACUCCAAUGUGAGUUUGAGAAGGAUGAUAUUUGGAUAUCAGAGUUAACAUUUCUUUAUUGUUGAGUUUGACUGAGCCUGGCUUUGGAUAACAAGUUGACAUCCCAACCACAUAACCCUUCUCAUUCCCUAUUUCACUUCCAUUUCCAUAUAUGGGAGAUGAAGAACAUAACUCUCUUCCAUCCUAAUAAAUGCAUAAUGAUAGACAUAUUAUACACAUAUUUAAGAAAACUUCAAUUACAUAUAAUUCCGAUCAUACAUACAUAAGAAAGAUUUCAAUUUAGAUUGUUUUUACCUAUAAGUAGAGGCUUGAAAAAGUAUUUAUAAUUAAACAGAUUUUCAUGGCACAGUUUAGUAAACAUUUUGUUUCUGGUUUUUGAUUUUUGAAAAUUUAGCUUUAUUUUCUCUUAAUGCUCUUAGUAUCUUUCUUAAGUACAUAUUUAAAAGUUAUUUGACACGAAAUUGAAAGUUCAACUACAUUAAAGUUUCAAAAAAAUAUGUAAUUUAAUUUUAUAAGAAAUGAAGAGACCAAUUAUUAAGUGAAGAAAAAAAUACCUGUCCAUAAAGCACUGAACCAAGACCACCAACAUGGAGAUGAGCCAUUCCAUAUAUGAUAUAGCCACUACUUGGAGACAAUAGCCUCACCAUUUUUGUAGCAUUACAUUCAUCACCAACCUUGUUUGUGGAGCAAGUCCCUCUUACAUUAUACUCCACCUGUACACAAACCAUCAAAUGAUAUACAUGUAUAUAUAUAGCAAAUUAUGGAAGUAGUUUGACUUACAAGACAAUUAUGUUGUUGUGGAGCUCCUGUUGAGUCCAUCAAUGGCUUCCAAGUAUCUGUGAUAUCAAAAAUGUAAACCUUAAGAGGAAUAACAAGAUCAUCAUCCCAAUCCACCCACUUGACUGUAUAUCUAGCAUACAAGUUCCUUUGUUGAUCAUCUCCUAAUUCAUUAUCAUACCCUUUUUUCACUUUACAUUGGGUCUGAUCAUAACAACAUCUUAAACCUCCAAUAUAAUCAUCUUCCAAAGCCAUUCCCAACCCAUCUUUUGUAACAUUAUACAAAUGACGUUUGCAUUCAAUACAUCCAAUUCUAUCUUCAACACCUCUUGUAUCAAUGGCAUGAAUAUUAAGAACCCAUUUCUCUUCAUACCCUAAAGGGACUUCCUUUUCAUUACCAACUUCUAUUCCAUAUGGGUGUGGAAGAAAUGAGGAUGUUUUUCUUGAAUCUGCCCCUGUCCCAAAGAAUUGUGGAAGUGCAUGUUUUUGACAUACUCCACUGUUUCCUGCUAUUAUGAAAUUUGGUUCUUGGAGUUGAGUGAAGGAAGUGUUGAUGUGUGGAUCUUUUGUGUCUUUGCGUUGGUAAUACCUGUUGUUGUUGCACAAAAAUAUGUUAUUUUAGAUCGGUAAAAAUAUAAAUGUUUCUCAAAUAAUCAAUUAAACAUGUAUAUACUCACUACUAAUAUCACUGCUAAUACAGUCAAUCUAAACUCGUAUACUUCAUAACUAACUCCAUUUCAAACAAAUUAUUUAAUACUCCGCAUUGCAAGCAAACUUCCUGAAUUAGUGAGGUAAAAUACUCUUAAUUAGACACCAAAAACGUAUAGAUCAUUUGACUUGACUCAGAUUAUAAUAACAACAAAAACUAUUACGACUAACUUAUUCUCUGGAAAAUCUUAUUACAAUAAUGUUAUUCAUAAAAGAGAUGUGCCUGAUCAACAGUAAUGAGUUAUGUUAAGAAAUAUUCGAUUGCCUAGAAAAGAGAGAGAGAAAUGGUAUAGACAGUAAAUAAAACAAUAAGAGUAAUAAUAGUACCUUAGAAUUCCCCAAUGGUGAAGAUAAGUUUCAAAGAGAGGGAUGGGAUUGUCUUCUUCAUCUACGACUUCAACAUCAAAACUUUUGAUAGCAAUAUGGCCUUCGGGAAAGUUGGUAUUAUAGAAGAAUCUCUCCACUACAUGGCCAGGUUUUAAAGUGAAGAAUGGAGUCAUAUAAGUCUUUGUUUUUAUGACUUGAUGAUCGUUCUUGUUGUUUAUUACAACCCCUUCCAAAUAUGGUAUCAUAAUUCCUAUGGAAGAGAGCAGUAGCAACCACCGAAAACAUUGGUGAUGCUUCAACAUUUUUCUUUGUUUGAUUCUGCAAAAAAAAUAUGAACCGUAAUACGGUUUAAAUAAUCGAAAAAAAGAUGAACAAAUAUUCAGUGACGUGACAGAUUUUGAGUGAGAGUAUAGUUGGUAUUACUGUAUAAUAUAAAUGGAAUGAUGAUAUAAUGAUAAUAUUGGGAGUAGGGAAUAAAGGAAGUGGGUGGAAAAGAGAGAUUUUCUUAACAUAAGAAUAUGGUUAUAAUUUCUCUGCCUAUUUUUAUAAUCUAAAUUGUCACCUAAUUCUUUUUAAAUUAAUUAAGGGACAAAACUCACCUAAUUUAAUUUAAAGUACUAAAUUAAAAUAUUUUCUAGAUUUGGAUGCUAGCUUUUGAAAUAUAAGAGAUUUUUAGCAUCUCAUCAAAAUCACUAAUUACACACUUUUAAUGACUAACAAAAAAAGCGCGUAAAGUUUUGACUUCUAGGGUACGAUCUUGAAAAUUUUGAAAGUAAAAAAACCAUGAUCUUAUUUUGUUGAGGCAAGAUUUACAACACCCAAAAAUCCUUUUCAUGUAAUUAGAUCAAAGCAUACCGAAUCACAACAUUAUUAUACUAAUAUACUUUGAAUUAGGUAAAAACGAAUUAGGUAAAAAGGUCUAAUUCUUAAGACACCAUUAAAAAGUGAAUUUUGAAUGAGUUGAUGCUCCAAAUCACUCACUCUCAAACUUUCUUCGAUCAUCUCAUGCUCACACUCUAAAAACCAAAUGAUCGAAACAAUAUAUAUAGUUUUCAAACUUUUUAAAACAACAAUUUAACUAAUUCUUAAAACAACAGUGAAUUGUGAAUAGUAAGCUCUACGGUCGACUAAAUGUGAACGUUAAUAAAAAGAGUAUUCUCAACAGUGAAAAAAAAGACUUCUUAGUAUCAACAAAUGGUAUAUAUGUAUAUGCUUCAUUAAUAUUGGAUAAUCAUGCCUCUAACCUAUAACACAUAUGUAACUCAAAAUCAUGUCUACAUCAAUAUUAACAUAUUGAUGGAUAGAAGAUGAAUUAAGAAAUUACUAACCGUAGAGAUUCUUGAAGAAGAGAGGAAGAAGAAGAAGAAGAACAAGACGGAUGCAAAUAAUAGAAAGAGCUUUUGAUUUGAUUGGCAAUGGCGGAUUUGAUUAUUUCUCAAUCUAUAUUUUAUCGAUGGCUUAGCUGGAAGACCAUUUAACAUAAACUUAGCUUUUUUAAAAGAUCCAAAAUAUAAUUAUUAUUAAUGCUAAAAAUAAUGUCAUAAUAAAGACAUUAAACAACAAGAUUAUAUUAUUCUAAUAAUUAAUUAUAUGUUAAAAAAGUUCUCAAACAUUUUGGUGUUCACUUUGUUGUUUGGUUCUUAUCAUGACUUCUUCUCUUUUUUUUUCUUCUUUUUGGUAUUAUCUAAAAAUAGUUCUAAAAUAAAUAGAAAAAUUUCCAACUUAAUAAUAAAUUAAAAUUAUAAAGUUUGUAGGGAAGACAAAAAAACAAAAACAGCUCAAAACACCAUUUUUUUUAAAUAAAGAAUGCAAUUAAUUAAAAAAAAUCAAAACAAAGAAACAAAAAUGCAGAAAUAUAUAUAAAAUUGAAAAAAAGUAAAACAUAAAUAAUUAAAUUGUUAACUUUUAGUGUAAAAAGUUAAGGAGAAGAUAUAUAUUUCUUUUGGUAAAGGAUCCAGAAAGAUUCACCUAAUUCAUAUACUAAAAGGAUUCAUUAUUUUUAAUAGAUGAUAUAUAUAUAUAUAUUGCACAAGUUGCAUUGCAUUUUUGUAUAUAUAAAUAUUGGUGGACCAAAUCAAAUAGAUUCAAUUAAUUCGGUUCGAUAUUUGAAUAAGUUUUAUCAUAAAAUGAAACUAUCUUCAGCUUAGUUCUACUUUUUAUUUAUACAAAUUAAAUUUUUAAGAAACAAAACUAGAGAACGUGAGUAUGUCUAUUGCUUAUACCUCAUCUGAUCCAUUCACCCUGUAGUUAAUAUCUACAAGUUUUGGUUGUCUUUUGGGAUCAACGCCCUUUUGUAGCCAAAGUGUAAAAAAAUAUAUAUCGAAUGAGUAUAGAGAAGUCGAGUAUGGUAGGAACUACUGAUAUUCAAAGUUUCUCUACAAAAAUUUAUUUUAUUAUUUCUUUUUAGGUUAUUUGUUAAAUUGUUUUCUUUUUUAAAGUUUGGUUGUUUUAGUACAACUCUCUUUUCUAUGUAUCUUAACUUAAUGCAACUGACAUACAUUUUUACUAUGAGAAGAUAUUCAAACACACUGUACAAUCUUAUAUUAUAAUUACAUUAUACAAACACACAAACUUUUAUACCAUAGUGUCAAACUAUAGGUAUAAAUUAGUAGAUGACAGAGUUCAUUAUCGUCAUCUUCUUCAUAGACCCACCAAUUGUAAUAUAAUAAUGUAAAGAUUUUACAUGGUGAUCUUCUUUUUACGAUCAUCAGCAAGUUGUUUGAGUGGUUCCAUUUGAA
rnacentral:lncRNA from 1 species